GCCAGUAUGGUGUAGUGGUUUGAGUGCUGGACUAUAACUCCGGAGAGCAGGGUCGACUCCCAGCUUGGCC